GGCACCUGGGCGACGAGGACUUGAGGCGGCGGUUCCUGGACGUCCUGUUCCGCCUGAGGGGCGUCCGUGCGGAGUUGUCCGCCCAGAUGUUGGAGCUGAUGGAGGACCAGGAGUGCUUG
rnacentral:SRP_RNA from 11 species